rnacentral:rRNA from 1 species
AUCGCUAGUAAUCGCGGAUCAGAAUGCCGCGGUGAAUACGUUCCCGGGCCUUGUACACACCGCCCGUCACACCAUGAGAGUUCGGGAACACCCGAAGUCCGUAGCCUAACAGCAAUGAGGGCGCGGCCGAAGGUGGGUUCGAUAAUUGGGGUGAAGUCGUAACAAGGUAUC